UACGUAGGGAGCAAGCGUUUGUUCGGAUUUACUGGGCGUAAAGGGCGCGUAGGCGGCAAUUCAAGUCAGCUGUGAAAUCUCCGGGCUUAACUCGGAACGGUCAGCUGAUACUGCUUUGCUAGAGUGCGGAAGGGGCAAUCGGAAUUCUCGGUGUAGCGGUGAAAUGCGUAGAUAUCGAGAGGAACACCUGAGGUGAAGACGGGUUGCUGGGCCGACACUGACGCUGACAGCGCGAAAGCCAGGGGAGCAAACGGG
rnacentral:rRNA from 1 species